CAAAGGCUUCGGCCGGUAAAGGAUGGGGAUGCGUCUGAUUAGCUUGCCGGCGGGGUAACGGCCCACCGGGGCGACGAUCAGUAGGGGUUCUGAGAGGAAGGUCCCCCACAUUGGAACUGAGACACGGUCCAAACUCCUACGGGAGGCAGCAGCGAGGAAUAUUGGUCAAUGGGCGCGAGCCUGAACCAGCCAAGUAGCGUGCAGGACGACGGCCCUAUGGGUUGUAAACUGCUUUUAUACGGGGAUAAAGUAUGCCACGUGUGGUUUAUUGCAGGUACCGUAUGAAUAAGGACCGGCUAAUUCCGUGCCAGCAGCCGCGGUAAUACGGAAGGUCCGGGCGUUAUCCGGAUUUAUUGGGUUUAAAGGGAGCGUAGGCCGGGUUUUAAGCGUGCCGUGAAAUGUCGGGGCUCAACCUUGACACUGCGGCGCGAACUGGAGUCCUUGAGUGCGCGGAACGUAUGCGGAAUUCGUGGUGUAGCGGUGAAAUGCUUAGGUAUCACGAAGAACCCCGAUUGCGAAGGCAGCAUACGGCAGCGCUACUGACGCUGAAGCUCAAAGGCGCGGGUAUCGAACAGGAUUAGAUACCCUGGUAGUCCGCGCGGUAA
rnacentral:rRNA from 1 species